rnacentral:tRNA from 1 species
CACCAGAAAGCUAGAUAGGGUACUAGCAUUAGCCUUUUAAGCUAAACGCAGGUGAUUCCCGACCACCUCUGGUGACUU